rnacentral:snRNA from 1 species
GGAUGUAAGGAAACCUGACUGAGACAUCUGUCAUACCACUGAUUGCUAGGGUUGAUUCAGUUGAUCUGGAUGGCUAGGUGGUUGCUGUCUUCCUUUGUCAUAGCUCAGUACGUGUCCCUCCUAAAGCUUCACGCUCAGUGGAGGAGGAUGGCUUUCUCCAGUAGAAUUAUUUGGUCUGGGAGUC